rnacentral:lncRNA from 1 species
AACCGUCCCGGCCACCGCUGCCUCAGCCUCUGCCUCCCAGCCUCUUUCUGAGGGAAAGGACAAGAUGAAGUGGAAGGCGCUUUUCACCGCGGCCAUCCUGCAGGCACAGUUGCCGAUUACAGAGGCACAGAGCUUUGGCCUGCUGGAUCCCAAACUCUGCUACCUGCUGGAUGGAAUCCUCUUCAUCUAUGGUGUCAUUCUCACUGCCUUGUUCCUGAGAGUGAAGUUCAGCAGGAGCGCAGACGCCCCCGCGUACCAGCAGGGCCAGAACCAGCUCUAUAACGAGCUCAAUCUAGGACGAAGAGAGGAGUACGAUGUUUUGGACAAGAGACGUGGCCGGGACCCUGAGAUGGGGGGAAAGCCGCAGAGAAGGAAGAACCCUCAGGAAGGCCUGUACAAUGUGAGUAGAGGAGACCUCACAUUUGACCUUGGAAAGUUGGAGGAAGGGCUGGAGGAGGGCUCCAGAGGAAGGGCUGGAGGAAGGGCUGGAGGAGGGCUCCAGAGGAAGGGCUGGAGGAAGGGCUGGAGGAGGGCUCCGGAGGAAGGGCUGGAGGAAGGGCUGGAGGAGGGCUCCGGAGGAAGGGCUGGAGGAAGGGCUGGAGGAGGGCUCCGGAGGAAGGGCUGGAGGAAGGGCUGGAGGAGGGCUCCGGAGGAAGGGCUGGAGGAAGGGCUGGAGGAGGGCUCCGGAGGAAGGGCUGGAGGUAGGGCUGGAGGAGGGCUCCGGAGGAAGGGCUGGAGGAAGGGCUGGAGGAGGGCUCCGGAGGAAGGGCUGGAGGAAGGGCUGGAGGAGGGCUCCGGAGGAAGGGCUGGAGGAAGGGCUGGAGGAGGGCUCCGGAGGAAGGGCUGGAGGAGGGCUCCGGAGGAAGGGCUGGAGGAAGGGCUGGAGGAGGGCUCCAGAGGAAGGCGGUUGCUCCUCACUCUGUGGUCUUUGUCUGUCCAGACCUUCCCUUCUUGGAUCGAGUAAUGUCUCACCUGCUUGCGGCCUGCAGCAGCACCUGCUUCUAGAAAGUCUCCUUAGCUGAAAAGUGCCGAGUAAUCUCCCUUCCCUCCCCAAACCCUGCUGCUGGAGUUCCCAGGUUGAUCAGCCUGGGGUGUAGGGGGACACAGCAAGGUCAAGCUAGGCAAGGACGAGGUGGCUGGCCCCUUCGAGGGGCUCCUGUCCUGGGUGCUGAAGUCUUCUGAGUGUACCCCCCUAUAGGAAGGUCAACCUCACCCUCCUGGGUGUGACCCUGAACCCUGAUUGUCGAUCUGGGUUGCCAUGCAGGAGACCCUUGCAGGUGGCAGCCUUCUGUGAAGGAGAUGCCUCCCCGCCCCUCCUGUGGGGAGGGAGGGUUGAUCUACAGCCCGUUUGGCUGUGUAAAGAGACAACUUGCUCAGAUAAAUGAUUCUGGGGCUCCAGGUGAGCCCUUGUUUUGCCCAGUCUCCGUGUCUUUGUCUAGAACUCCACCUCCUAUCUUUUUGAGCCUAACUUGAGCCCCUCAGCUCAGUGCAAAGAGCUGGCAGCUCGGAGGAGACUCCAAAGGGCUGAGGAUGAGGGGGGUGGGCUGGAGCUGGUUGUGGGCAGAGAAGUUUGUGUGCAUAAGGUUUGGAGCCUUGAUUGUGGGAGCCCUCCCUGUCUGCCACUGCUGCCAACUUGGGGAUCAAGAAGCUUCCUGUUGUAGGGGAACCUGCUGCUUUCUGCAUUAGUUGGUAAAAAUCAGUGUUCCACGCCCUCUUCUGCAGGAACUGCAGAAAGAUAAGAUGGCGGAGGCCUACAGUGAGAUUGGGAUGAAAGGCGAGCGCCGGAGGGGCAAGGGGCACGAUGGCCUUUACCAGGGUCUCAGUACAGCCACCAAGGACACCUACGACGCCCUUCACAUGCAGGCCCUGCCCCCUCGCUAACAGCCAGGGGAUUUCACCACUCAAAGGCCAGACCUGCAGACGCCCAGAUUAUGAGACACAGGAUGAAGCAUUUACAACCCGGUUCACUCUUCUCAGCCACUGAAGUAUUCCCCUUUAUGUACAGGAUGCUUUGGUUAUAUUUAGCUCCAAACCUUCACACACAGACUGUUGUCCCUGCACUCUUUAAGGGAGUGUACUCCCAGGGCUUACGGCCCUGGCCUUGGGCCCUCUGGUUUGCCGGUGGUGCAGGUAGACCUGUCUCCUGGCGGUUCCUCGUUCUCCCUGGGAGGCGGGCGCACUGCCUCUCACAGCUGAGUUGUUGAGUCUGUUUUGUAAAGUCCCCAGAGAAAGCGCAGAUGCUAGCACAUGCCCUAAUGUCUGUAUCACUCUGUGUCUGAGUGGCUUCACUCCUGCUGUAAAUUUGGCUUCUGUUGUCACCUUCACCUCCUUUCAAGGUAACUGUACUGGGCCAUGUUGUGCCUCCCUGGUGAGAGGGCCGGGCAGAGGGGCAGAUGGAAAGGAGCCUAGGCCAGGUGCAACCAGGGAGCUGCAGGGGCAUGGGAAGGUGGGCGGGCAGGGGAGGGUCAGCCAGGGCCUGCGAGGGCAGCGGGAGCCUCCCUGCCUCAGGCCUCUGUGCCGCACCAUUGAACUGUACCAUGUGCUACAGGGGCCAGAAGAUGAACAGACUGACCUUGAUGAGCUGUGCACAAAGUGGCAUAAAAAACAUGUGGUUACACAGUGUGAAUAAAGUGCUGCGGAGCAAGAGGAGGCCGUUGAUUCACUUCACGCUUUCAGCGAAUGACAAAAUCAUCUUUGUGAAGGCCUCGCAGGAAGACCCAACACAUGGGACCUAUAACUGCCCAGCGGACAGUGGCAGGACAGGAAAAACCCGUCAAUGUACUAGGAUACUGCUGCGUCAUUACAGGGCACAGGCCAUGGAUGGAAAACGCUCUCUACUCUGCUUUUUUUCUACUGUUUUAAUUUAUACUGGCAUGCUAAAGCCUUCCUAUUUUGCAUAAUAAAUGCUUCAGUGAAAAUGCA